GGGAUGGAGUGUGGUGCUGUGUGCUGGACGGGCGGCUAAACCAGUGGGGUUCUCUCCCCAGCCCGCUGUGGGGGGCACGGUGAGCCAGCGGCUGCAUGGGGCUGGGGUUGCCGGCUGGGGUUAGACCACAACAACCAGGAAAAGCAGUCUAGAGGAUCACAGGCACACCCCAAACAAGCUGCUUUUGAAGAGGAAGCUUUGUGUUAUUCUUGGAAAGUUUCGCACCACUUGUGAAUUCCUUGAACCUUGGCAUUGCAAGCCCACUUCUGUUGGGCCCUCCU